AUUGAACGCUGGCGGCAUGCCUUACACAUGCAAGUCGAACGGCAGCGGGGACUUCGGUCCGCCGGCGAGUGGCGAACGGGUGAGUAAUGUAUCGGAACGUACCAUUGAGUGGGGGAUAACGUAGCGAAAGUUACGCUAAUACCGCAUAUUCUCUCCGGAGGAAAGCAGGGGACCGCAAGGCCUUGCGCUCUUUGAGCGGCCGAUAUCAGAUUAGCUAGUUGGUGAGGUAAAGGCUCACCAAGGCGACGAUCUGUAGCGGGUCUGAGAGGAUGAGCCGCCACACUGGAACUGAGACACGGUCCAGACUCCUACGGGAGGCAGCAGUGGGGAAUUUUGGACAAUGGGGGCAACCCUGAUCCAGCCAUGCCGCGUGAGUGAAGAAGGCCUUCGGGUUGUAAAGCUCUUUCGGCCGGGAAAAAAUCGCAUGGGCUAAUACCCUGUGUGGAUGAUGGUACCGGAAUAAGAAGCACCGGCCAACUACGUGCCAGCCGCCGCAGUAA
rnacentral:rRNA from 1 species